rnacentral:rRNA from 1 species
UACGGAGGGGGCGAGCGUUAUUCGGAAUCAUUGGGCGUAAAGGGCGCGUAGGCGGCUUCAUAAGUCUUGGGUGAAAGCCCUCGGCUCAACCGAGGAAUUGCCUUGGAUACUGUGAAGCUCGAGGCUGGAAGAGGGCAGUGGAAUUCCCGGUGGUAGCGGUGAAAUGCGUAGAUAUCGGGAGGAACACCAGUGGCGAAGGCGGCUGCCUGGGCCAGUUCUGACGCCUGAGGCACGGAAAGCGUGGGGAGCAAACAGG